AACUGGCGCAGUUUAUAUAAACACAGCGCUGAUGUUUUUUUUUUUUUUGGCCUCCGCUCUCAUCUGCCGGAUGAGAAUCUCAAACAUUGGCGCAAUUUCUGAGAAUAACAGGUCAGGCAGCUGCUCUUUUGUUGAGGUCCUCGCUCCUCUCUUGGCGGAAGCUUCUCCUUUGUCUUCUCCGGGUGACAAGUGCUUUAUCCUAAACACACACAGGACUCGGCCAUCGUCUGCUUUUCCUUGGGGAAGCAAUUAAGGCAGAAUCCCCCGGACAGAGAGUAUAGUAAGUGAUGAGGAGACGGCAGAGACCGGCGCCCGCGCUCCACACAACCUCUUAACCCAUCCCCAGAAAUAAAAGGCCAUCGCUGGGAUUAAUCCUCUUCUGCCGCAGCUGGAUUGAUGCUACAUUAACAGAUUACAUCCUGGGCAGAUCGAGCAGGAUUCAGUCCAUUAUAAAGGCCCCCGCCGGGACCCCCACAAGACACUGCCCUGCUCCCUCCUGGGCUCUGCUGCAUCUUACAGCCAAUUCUGCAGGAUCAGGCUCUCGUACGGGCCAUAGUGAGACACCUGACCUACAUGCCAAGUAGGGCCGCCCUCCGCUCCUACUUUAUAAGACCUUCUCCGUCUCCUCGUCCUCCAUCCUUUGGAAAAUUCAAAUCGCAGUCAAAUCGAGUCUCCGCAUCAUCUGACUUGUGCUCGGACGUACAUGCAAAGCAGAACAGACGGAGAUAAGAGGCUCCACUAAGAUCAGCGCCAUCAAAAACCUGGUGUCCGG